rnacentral:rRNA from 1 species
GACAGAGGAGCCAAGCGUUGUCCGGAUUGACUGGGCGUAAAGCGCACGCAGGCGGUCGCGCGCGUGGGGUGUGAAAUCUGGCCGCUUAACGGCCAGGCGCCAUCCCAUACGGCGCGACUGGAGUGAUGCAGAGGUCGAUGGAAUUGCCGGUGUAGUGGUGAAAUGCGUAGAGAUCGGCAGGAACACCCAGGGGGGAAACCAGUCGACUGGGCAUCUACUGACGCUGAGGUGCGAGAGCGUGGGGAGCGAACAGG